rnacentral:lncRNA from 1 species
AUAGAUAAACAAAAUAACAUUUUAUUAAUGAUGAUAAAACUUGAAACAAAGCCCACACAAAUUCACUUUCACCUUGGGCAUAGUGAAAGGAUUUGUUGAAAAUAACAAAAACAUAUUACUUUGACAAGUGAACAAUAAAGGGAACGUCAACAGUAGUCCAAUUCUGGCAUAAUAAUCUGUGCGUUACAAAGUUUGGUGCUUCUUGUUCUUGAUCAUCUUCUAGGGUUGCAGCAGUAGACUGAUCUUUGGAGUGGAUGAAACAAGCAUUGUG